AUAUGACUAGGCUUUUUAGGCGUAUUAUCGCCUAAUUUUACAAUUAGCUUACUACAUAUAGACAAGCAAAAUUUGUUUUUUAAAAAUUAAACGCGACCUGGAUGGCAUGAAUAAAGCAUUAGGAAAUUUUGAAAACAGAUUUUCUUUGAUUGUUUUAAUUUGUACAGGAUUGUCAAAUCAGUAAUAGAAUGUUGUAUGACUCUGUAGUUAUACUUAUUGAAUUAAUCGUGACUACAGGAUUUCGCGAUAAUGCGUCUACAUUUGAAUUUAUUCUGCCUGGUUUGUAUUUGAUUUCAUAUUCGAAUUCUUCCCUCCAACGGACAAGUCGGGAGUUUGGAUCUUUACAAUUAAAAAGCCAAGUUAAGGGUUUAUGAUCUGUGAGUAUAGUGAAUUUACGACCGUACAGAUAGGGUCGAAAAUGCUGUGUUUCGAAAAUUAUCGCAAGUAGAGUGGUGUAAAUUAGGUAAGCACACACCUGGGCGGAGCCUAAUUUCGCACAAAUGUAAGAGGGGCCGAGGAGCAGUGGCGUAACAAAAUGUGUUAGUGGAUUGUUUAAGAGACAAUUGCUUGUAAAUAAUAAAUUCCACUGUCAAAAUUGCUGUUCACUUACAACUGCUUCAAAUAAGUUUGCAAAUAAUGUCUUUUCCUUUAAUUCUUUGUGAAAUAUUGCGAUAAUAAAGCACAUCAACACGCCACUGAUUUAAAAACUCCCCUGCUUUUGACAAUGGACUCGUCCGGGACGCGUUUUCGUCAUCUACGCAUACACGCCCAGGUGUGGCGUUCUGUCAUUUGACAGACUCUAAUUCUUUUUCUUUGGUAGAAUAAUUACAUUCAGAUUUAUUAAGUGUUCUAGAUGCAUACGCAAUAGGAAGAUCUUGUCCAAUAGGACCUUGUGAUAAUGUAGCUCCAAUGGCAUCAGUUGUUAAAAUAAAUUCUUCAUCAAAGUUAGGAAAAUUUAAGUAAAGGUUGACUAGUAAGUACUUGUUUGAAAUGAUUAAAGGCUGUUUCUUGUUCGUUAUUCUAAAUAAAAGGCAUAUCCUUUUUUAAGAGAUUUGUUAGAGGUUUUGCGUGAGCAGAGAAAUUUUUUAUGAACCUCCUAUAGUAACCUAUUAAACCAAAGAACUGUUUUAUUUCUUUGGGGUUUUUAGGAGUUGGGUAAUUUAUAACAAACGAAUUUUUUUUGGAUUGGGUUUCACACCUUGAUCGGUAAUAAUGUCUCCUAAAUUAUUUGCUCGGAGUCUUUGGAAUACCUCUUAUAAUUUUUGUGUAUGUUCAUCAACUGAAACAAGCAACAAUAUUAUCUAAAUAAACAAAAAUGUGUGUGCCUGUUAGACUUGUUAGGACAUUAUUAAUUGACCUUUGAAAUACACUGGAGCGUCUUCUUUUUUCAUAGGUAUUUGAUGAUGAAAACCGGAAACAAGAUCUAAUGUUAAAUAUUUUGGGUGACCUACUUGAUCGAGAAUUGACUCAAUGUUGGGCAAAGGAUAUGAAUCUCCAACAGUGACGUCAUUUAAUUUACGGCACAAUCCAUAAGGGGCUUUUAUAUGGACUGACCAAAUCUUUGAUAAUUCCUUGCUUUAACAUCUUUGCGAUUUGUUUAUGGAUUUUGGGGAAUCGAUGUACUUUUGUUGUUAUUGGUGUUUGAUUUGUAGUAAUACAUAACAACUGAGCAGCAUGAGUGAAGGAGAAGCGGUCCAAUCGGCUACCCAUUGGCGUGCGUAUCGAACCUAGGCCCAGUCAAAUAAAUUGUCACAUUAAAAUGUGGAGAAUAAACUUACAUUCUUGAUAUAACUUUCUGUGAAGUAUUUAAAAAAGUAUAGUCAAAGAAUUUUUCGUUUCAACCCCCACGAAGAGGUUGAAAACACGAAAAUUAAGUGUUUUUUAAAAAUCGACAAGAGCUAGAAAAAAAAUUUUUAAAUAACAAUUGUAAAGCAAAAAAUUUAACAUAAAAUACCUCUUGAAUUUUGUGGAUAAUAUGCAAAUUAACAGAGUUUGGGGUGGUUAAAUGUUAUGGGAUGAUGUGUACAUUUUUUAAAAUUGAGCACAAACACGUGAUUGUUAUAUGAAAUUUUCUGCUAAAUGUAAAUCUGAAGGUAAUUGUUUGAUUUGAAAUUGCCUUCUUUGUAAAAAAGGCGUUUUAGCAAAAAAUGUACAAAAACCUAAAAUUGGACAAAUCCCUAGUAGCACAGUUUUACUGAGUUAUCUUUUUAUAACGUUUUAUAAUCGCAAUACACAAAUCUAACCAUUGGUUAUGUUAGGCUCAGCUUAUGUAGCCGUUCGCUAACCAUAGUUAUGUUUAGCGUCUAUAAACAUGCUUAUAUUACGAUUUUAUAACAGUUAUGUUUCUUAAGUAAUAUGGCCCAAGCUAAAAAAUUUCAGUUUUCUUAUUAACGUGUCAUGUUUGUAUGUAAAAUUUUCGAGAUGCUCGAACGUUUUUUAUUUUCAAAGAUAGACCCCUACAUAAUCUAGGUGAAAUGAGGCUAAUAGUUGAAAUAAAUGUUUGGUGCAGGAAGCAUCUACAAUAAUCACCGAGUUAUUGCAAUUUGUUUCUGCAACAGGCGGUCGAAGGGGACAGCCCGGCGUAUUUUCCUUUGUCGUAGUGUCGCUAAAUUCCAUAACAUUAACUAAUUUCCAACGAUUUAAGACGUAAAUAAGCUGUUUUUUGACAUGGCAUUAACUGAGUGGGUAAUACUUACCUUUUCGUAGACCACAUAGCGCGAAUGAGUUGCAAAAGAAAAUUCAGACGACUCGAAUGGUACUAGACCGCCAUACCAGUUUCACUUCAAGCGCAAGAUGAUAGUUUAAUAAUAAAAACUUGGUUUAUUUCCGUUUUUAAUGUUUUUGUAAUGUUAAUUGCAAAAGACGUUUAGUAAUAAUA